UUGUAUUUGCACUUUGUGGGCUGAGGAGACCCUUAUAUUAUCUUCAAAAUGAGUUGGUUCUAUCGGUUCGUAACACCUAAAAAAUUUAAGUUUUCUGAAUCCUUAAUAACUUUAACUGUCAGUUAUUGUGAAACCUCCACUUUAAAGUUUAUUGAACCAUUACUUGACAUAAAACACCUUUCCUUUUACAAAUAUAUGGAAAUUACUGACAUCGAC